rnacentral:rRNA from 1 species
CUAUUAUGGAGAGUUUGAUCCUGGCUCAGGACGAACGCUGGCGGCAUGCCUAAUACAUGCAAGUCGAGCGAAUGACGAAGAAGCUUGCUUCUUCUGAUUUAGCGGCGGACGGGUGAGUAACACGUGGGCAACCUGCCCUGUAGAUUGGGAUAACUCCGGGAAACCGGGGCUAAUACCGAAUAAUCCAUUUCCUCACAUGGGGAGAUGUUAAAAG